UAUGCGCUUUUUGUACGCGUUGCUCCUUCGUGGCGGACAGUACGGAUGAAACACUGUCGACGCAAACUAGGCGAAAAGUUCUAUGAGAAAUAACAAAAAAAAAAAUAUAAAAAAACAAUCCAACAUUUUUAGCAUAAAUUGUGUGCUAAACCAUACGAUUUCCAUGAGCAAAUAGGCAAAGAAGAAGAAAUAAAAAAGAAAACAACUAACCUCAUAUAAAAGUUCAUGCAGUGAAAAAAACAACCAAGAAAAUUUGCCAGAAGCAUAUUUGUCAAAUAAAAAAAGUAAUAACAGAAAAAAAAAAAUUAAAAGAGUGUGCGCAAUCUGUACCCUUCUCGCUCUUGCUCUUAUAUAAAUGGCAAAUAAUUCUUGAGAUUGGAUACAACAACAACGACGUGAAAAAGGAAAGCUCUGCCUACAACAACGAAAAUUUGUGGAUUUACAUUUCCUGUGUGCAGCAGCAGCAGCACCAACAACAACGCCUUCGUCGGCGUUUCUUUUGUGGAUUAUUACUACCUAAAAACCGCUGCUCACUUUGCGGGCCGCACUCUCUCACUCAGUCGCUCUCUGUCGCACGCGAGUGCAAGGGUCGCUGCGCGAGCAAGCCAGAGCCAGCAGGCAACGAAAAUCCUCGUUCGCACCUUGCUCCCCACCAUUCUCUCUCAUACUCCACUCUCACCCAUCCACUACUACUCACCAUUCUGCGUCUCUCCUCCCCUAACGUCGCUCACUGCCGUCGCCGCCAACAACUGAAAACAACAAGAACGGCAA